CCGGUCUCCUCUCCACGCUCCUCCCUCAGCAGAGCCCCAGGACACACCGUGAGUGGGGCACAGGGCUGAAAGGACAGAGCAGGAGCAGGAACAGGGAGGAGGCUGCUCACACCCUUCCCACUGCAGGGCAGAUGGCAGCUGGGAUCAGACGAGGGCUUCCCCUGGGAGGGGAGUGUGAGCCCCAGACUUCGGACCAGGCUUUUCACUACCUGAGAAUGAAGUUCUCAGAGCAACAGAAAGGCUAUGGGGUCUGCCAAGAUUUCAUCCAGGACGCAGAAGAAUGGCGGACAAAUGGGGGUUUAUCAGACAGCGCUUGGAGAAAACAGUUUUGUUUGCACUUCGCCCCGUUCAGUCCAGGGCACUCAGUAAGCUGACUGUGUCUGCCAGGCACAGAGCUGGGCGUGAGGAACACAGCAGGCAAGGCUCCUCCACGGGACUGCGCGAAGGCUGCACUCCUGAGACGGUGGCUCGCUUGGGGCUGAAAUCUCAGAGCUCCGCUCGUCCUGAUCUCAAACUCUCCACCCGCCUGCCUCCGAGCUGACUCAUCUUCCGAGACCUGUGUGGUUAGAGUCCCGCAGAGAACCCCUUCCACAGCUGCCCUUCCCAGUGCUUAUUUCACAGCAGGCCACCGUGUCCAAGUGUGCUCCUCCACUCGGCAAAGACUGGGAGCACCUACGAUGUGGCAGACCCUGUGCGAAGCAAAGGAAGUGACUUUAUCUCCAUCACCCACGGCAAGGCUGAGGCUCAGAGAGGCCCCAGAGCUUGCUCACAGCUGUGCCUCCUGCAGCAGCACAGGGGGAAUCGGAACUCAACGCAGCCCAGUUCCCAAGUCUGGGCCCCUCUGCGCUGUGCUGUAGCCCUACUUCGAGCCCAUGUCCCAGGCAGGCUCCAGCUCACCUCUGCCACGUGUCUGUACUCCUGCCACCCGCUCCCCCAGGUCAGACACUGGGCAUCUCACCAACAGCUUCCUGCCAAACUCUCCACCCUAGUCCAGGCUUCCCCGGCAAAAACCAUCCUUGGAAGUCCAGGUAUCAUCAAGGCACCACGCUGUUCAAAGCCUUCCUUAUGCACCCCAUGGCUUAGAGUGGGGCUUUCAAACACCUUUUCUCCCUAGAACGCUUCCUUGAAAUAAUGCCUUAUGAGGACGCCCAAUGUAUGAAAACCUUAGGCUCUGUCUCCAGCUGGGUAAGCAGCAAAGAGACUCUCACCUAAAGCUACGAGCCGAGCCCAUGACGGCCGGGUCCCCAAGCCACCUCCAAGGGACCCCAGUGCUCUUGUAGUUCAAACCCCUCCGGUGCCAUGGCUGACCAGAACUGUCGGAUAAUGCAGCCCGAGGCUGUCAGGGACACCAGGGAGCCUGUUCUCACUCUACCACUGGGGAAUGUGAACUGUUACUGCCGUUUGGGAAAGGAACACAGCAAUAGCCAUUGGAAUUAAAUGCACACAUGCACCACAGCCAGCAGUGUCACUCCUGGGAAUCAGUACCAGAGAAAUAGAGGCAUCAAGUCCUUAAGGAUGUGUUUGCAAAGAUGUUUAUUCUGUAAAACUAUCACUGCUCGCAAUGGAAGAAAGUUGGAGAGGAAAAGGCACUUCGUCGGGGAACCUGAAAUGCUCAGGUGAACUGUGGGCCUUCAGCACCUUCGGGAACAGACAGUUAUUAAAAGAAGGGCUUAGAGCGGGGAUCUAACUCAUUUUCAUGAUCUGUUAUUUGUUUGUUGAGCUCCUGGGGAUUAAACUCCAGGUCUUCAAACUGAACUCCAUUCCCAGUUUUAGUUUCUUUCUUUUUCCUGAGACAGGGUCUCACUACGUCACUAAGUUGCCAUGGCUGGGCUCAAACUUGCAGCCCUCCUGCCUCGGCCUCCCAGAGUGUUGAGAUUACAGGCGUGCACCGCCACACGCGGCCGUGAUCUGUUGUCAAACAAAAACAAAAUGCACUAGCAUGAUUCCCAGCAGCAAUGAGAAGUAAAAGACAUUUCUAUUGUGAGAAAUGUAAUAAUCAAUAAGCAUUCAAAGCUGGGCAUGGUGGCACAUGCCUGUAAUCAUAGAAUCCUGGGAGGCUAAGGCGGGAAGACCACAAGUUCA
ensembl:lncRNA